rnacentral:rRNA from 1 species
GAUGAACGCUGGCGGCGUGCCUAAUACAUGCAAGUCGAGCGAACGGACGAGAAGCUUGCUUCUCUGAUGUUAGCGGCGGACGGGUGAGUAACACGUGGAUAACCUACCUAUAAGACUGGGAUAACUUCGGGAAACCGGAGCUAAUACCGGAUGAUAUUUUGAACCGCAUGGUUCAAAAGUGAAAGACGGUCUUGCUGUCACUUAUAGAUGGAUCCGCGCUGCAUUAGCUAGUUGGUAAGGUAACGGCUUACCAAGGCAACGAUGCAUAGCCGACCCGAGAGGGUGAUCGGCCACACUGGAACUUAGACACGGUCCAGAAUCCUACGGGAGGCAGCAGUAGGGAAUCUUCCGCAAUGGGCGAAAGCCUGACGGAGCAACGCCGCGUGAGUGAUGAAGGUCUUCGGAUCGUAAAACUCUGUUAUUAGGGAAGAACAUAUGUGUAAGUAACUGUGCACAUCUUGACGGUACCUAAUCAGAAAGCCACGGCUAACUACGUG